UGCGCAGGCGGAAUAAUAAGUCAGUGGUGAAAUCUCUCGGCUCAACCGGGAAACUGCCAUUGAUACUGUUAUUCUUGAGUACAGUUGAAGUGGGCGGAAUGUGUCAUGUAGCGGUGAAAUGCUUAGAUAUGACACAGAACACCGAAAGCGAAGGCAGCUCACUAAGCUGUAACUGACGCUCAUGCACGAAAGCGUGGGGAUCAAUCAGGAUUAGAUACCCUGGUAGUCC
rnacentral:rRNA from 1 species